CAGAAGACAUGGGACCGUCCCUCAUUCCUACAAUGAGAAUCAAGCUCUUUGUCUGUGUGGCCUGCUGUCUCCUGUGGGCAGGACACAUGGAGGCUGGAAUCACCCAGAGCCCAAGACAUGUCAUCACAGAGACAGGAGAAAAGGUGACUUUGAGAUGCCACCAGACCUACAACUAUGACUACAUGUAUUGGUAUCGACAAGACCAAGGGCAAGGGCUGCAGCUGAUCCAUUACUCAUAUACUGUUGGCAACACUGCCAAAGGAGACGUGUCUGACGGGUACAGUGUCUCCAGAUCAAACACAGAGGACUUCCCCCUCACUCUGGAGUCCACCACCCGCUCCCAGACAUCUGUGUACUUCUGUGCCACCAGUGACUACACAGUGCUCCAG